rnacentral:rRNA from 1 species
UUGGUUUCACCCGAAGGCUGUGCGCUAACCGCAAGGAGGCAGCAGACCACGGUGGGAUCAGCGACUGGGGUGAAGUCGUAACAAGGUAGCYGUAGGUGAACCUGCAGAAGGAUCA